GACGAACGCUGGCGGCGUGCUUAAUACAUGCAAGUCAACUGAAUUAUCGGUAGCAAUACUGGUAAGGAGGUGGCGCACGGGUGCGUAACGCGUAGGUAAUCUGCCCUUGGGUCUGACAUAACCCACCGAAAGGUGAGCUAAUAUCAGAUGAUGCAGCGGCUUGACAUCAAGACAGUUGUUAAAGCUUCGGCGCCCAUGGAUGAGCCUGCGCUGAUUAGGUAGUUGGCGGAGUAAAAGCCCACCAAGCCCACGAUCAGUAGCUGGUCUGAGAGGAUGAUCAGCCACACUGGAACUGAGACACGGUCCAGACUCCUACGGGAGCAGCAGUAAGGAAUAUUGCUCAAUGGGAGAAAUCCUGAAGCAGCAACGCCGCGUGAGGGAUGAAGG
rnacentral:rRNA from 1 species